rnacentral:rRNA from 1 species
AACGAACGCUGGCGGCAUGCCUAACACAUGCAAGUCGAACGAUAGCACCGGGUGCAUUUGCUCACAGGGGCGUAACGCGUCGGAAGCGUGCCGUAUACAUGGAAUAACUCUUCGAAGGGGGUGAUAAUAUCGGAUAAUGUCUGCUAACACAAGAUUUAGCGGGUUGGGAUGGGCGGGCGUUCGCUGAGCCAGUUGGUAGGGUACAAGCCGACCUAGGAGAAGAUCGAUAGCUGGUCAGAGGGGAUGAGCAGCCACACUGGGAGUGAGACAGGGCCGGGAAUCCUGCGGGAGGGAGCAGUGGGGAAUAUUGGACAAUGCGCGAAGGCCUGAUCCACCUAUGCCGUGUAAGUGAUGUAGGCCUGAAGAGUGUAAAGGUCUGUUAACCGGGCUGAUAAUGACAGUACCGGAAGAAUAAGCCACGGCUAACUCCGUG